GCUCUGUAAGAUUUAUUUAUUUUCUACCUCAACGGAGUUAAGCAUUCAGACAGAAAUACGGAUCGUGCCUCUAUAGAUUUAAAUAUGUUUAUUAUAUAUAUUGUAAAAGAUACUAAAACCUAUAUGCCUUCUAAUGUGUUACAUCUUCAGUGUCUAUAUCAAACAAAAAAGCUUAGAUAUCACCGCAAACCGAAAAUCCAAUCCUGUUGACUUUUCUGAUGAUAUAGCCAAUAUGAGGGAACUGUAACAACAUAGGGAGGGACAUUUCUUUGUUAAAAUGUUUACAGUUCCCUUAAAUAUUUGUCGGAAUUAUUUUCACCUUUUUCAAAUCUAUUUAUUUAGUAAACAAAAGAUUAUAGGUAAACAAAAACAAUAUCGUAUUGUCCUCUAAUAGUCAUCUAAUUAUAAAUCCGUUAUC
rnacentral:lncRNA from 1 species